UACUUCUCCCUGUGUUUCUCCCGGUGCUCGUGCCGCCGACCCUCUGAAACACAGACCGACAGUCACCGGUUUCUUGGUCCGCGUAAGUGAAAGAGCCCAGACAGGAGUGACGGGCGUCACACACACACUCCUCUCCGGCUCUGUCGCAGCCUGUCAUCAGGGGACAGCGCUCAUCCUCGAGGCCUGCCUCCGGAUGGCCGGGGAGCACUGCGGAGGCGGGGGACAUCGAUGAAAACAUGAAGACUGGAACCAAAAAGGAGCACAUGGGACCUCGUAGAGCUGCGACCACGGUGCCAGAUAACUGCUGCCAAAUGUAUUGUCGGGCUUCUGAGCUGAGAGUGAAUGAAGCUUUGAGGAGAAGAAAGAGCGGUUGAACAUGACUCCUCUCCUGGCAGACGAGAGCCACUCAGAGACCUGGGGAGCUGCUG